rnacentral:rRNA from 1 species
AGCGAACGCUGGCGGCAUGCCUAACACAUGCAAGUCGAACGGAUCCUUCGGGAUUAUUGGCGUAUGGGUGAGUAACACGUGGGAACGUUCCCUUUUGUUCGGAACAACUCAGGGAAACUUGUGCUAAUACCGGAUCUGCCCUUCUGGGGAAAGAUUUAUCGCCAUUGGGGCUGCCCUCGUCUGAUUAGAUUGUUGGAGAGGUAACGGCCCACAAAGGCGGAGAUCAGUAACUGGUAUGAGAGGAUGAUCAGCAACACUGGGAGAGGGACCCGGCCGAGACUGCUAGGGAAGGGAGAAGUGGGGAAUCAUGAGCAAUGGGCGAAAGAAUAGGGAAGACAGGCCGCGAGAAUGAUGAAGGUCGUAGGAAUGAAAAAUUAUUUAAGCGGGGACGAUAAUAAGGGAACCAGAAAAAGAAGCUCCGGCUAACUUCGU